CCAAGAAGUGGGAGGGAGAGGAGCGAACAAGAGCAGAGGGUAGAAUUCCCCCCCAAAGAAGUGAGAUUUUAUCAGUUGCUUUUACAGACUCUAUCCCAUCAGAUUUUCCUAGUGAUUCCCAAAGCUGACCACUACAGGACUCUUCUCCCUCAUCACACAGAGGGUAUGGCGGUCCCACACGUGGGAACAGAGGUGUCCAACAUCUGAAAAAACCAAGUGAGUGCACGAGAGAUACAAAUGGAUCGUUUGGUGGAGAAAUCCGUCUUCGUCACCGCCGCCAGGCUGGGAUUAAUGCGAUUGAAGGCUCCUCCAGGCUCCGCCAGGGAGACGGCUCAGGAAAGCAAGAGAAAUUGGUUGGCUAGGCUCAGCUGGACAUUUCUUCUGCACUUGGUGGUGCUGGCUGAGUUCACGCAUGCAGCUGCGAUCAUCUGGAAACUCAGUGGAGGCUGCAGCAUCCAGAAUGGGCCCACUGACGUCUGGCAGUCACUGCUGGCUGCCGGCAGGAAAGCCUUGGUUCUCCUCCAUGGGGCCUCUCACCCUGCAAGGCCUCUCUCUCCCUCCCCGGCUUCUCCAGCUGGAGAAUUCAGACUUCUCUGGAUGGCAGCUGGUUUCCAAGAAAGUGAAUAUGGAAACUGCAAGGUCUCUUAAGGCCUAAACCCAGAAAGCGUCACUUCUGUUGCAUUCUGUUGGUCAAAAAAUCCCAUAGCCAGCCCAGAUUUGAAGGGAAGGGAAAUAGACUUCAUUUCUUGUACAAAGUCACAUUGCACAAAUCUUGUGUGAUACACAACCUGCUAUGGUAGUUGUGAGAAUUCUAUGAAUUAGAACAUGUAAAAGGACUUAGAACGGUGUCUGGUACCUAGUAAGUGCUCAAUAUUUUUUGAAAAAUACAGACUCUACUGUUUGGCUGCCUAAAUUCAAAACCUA